GAUGAACGCUGGCGGCGUGCCUAAUACAUGCAAGUCGAGCGAACAGACGAGGAGCUUGCUCCUUUGACGUUAGCGGCGGACGGGUGAGUAACACGUGGGUAACCUACCUAUAAGACUGGGAUAACUUCGGGAAACCGGAGCUAAUACCGGAUAAUAUUUCGAACCGCAUGGUUCGAUAGUGAAAGAUGGCUUUGCUAUCACUUAUAGAUGGACCUGCGCCGUAUUAGCUAGUUGGUAAGGUAACGGCUUACCAAGGCAACGAUACGUAGCCGACCUGAGAGGGUGAUCGGCCACACUGGAACUGAGACACGGUCCAGACUCCUACGGGAGGCAGCAGUAGGGAAUCUUCCGCAAUGGGCGAAAGCCUGACGGAGCAACGCCGCGUGAGUGAUGAAGGUCUUCGGAUCGUAAAACUCUGUUAUUAGGGAAGAACAAACGUGUAAGUAACUGUGCACGUCUGGACGGUACCUAAUCAGAAAGCCACGGCUAACUACGU
rnacentral:rRNA from 1 species